rnacentral:rRNA from 1 species
UACGAAGGGGGCUAGCGUUGCUCGGAAUCACUGGGCGUAAAGGGUGCGUAGGCGGGUCUUUAAGUCAGGGGUGAAAUCCUGGAGCUCAACUCCAGAACUGCCUUUGAUACUGAGGAUCUUGAGUUCGGGGAGAGGUGAGUGGAACUGCGAGUGUAGAGGUGAAAUUCGUAGAUAUUCGGAAGAACACCAGUGGCGAAGGCGACUUACUGGACACAUAUUGACGCUGAGGUGCGAAAGCGUGGGGAGCAAACAGG